GGAUAGUUCAGUGGUUAAGAACACUGGCUGCUCUUCCAGAGGACCCAGAUUCAAUUCCUGGCAUCCA
rnacentral:tRNA from 1 species